rnacentral:rRNA from 1 species
AGAGACAGCAGUCGCCCGGUAAUACGUAGGGUGCGAGCGUUAAUCGGAAUUACUGGGCGUAAAGCGUGCGCAGGCGGUUGUGUAAGACAGGUGUGAAAUCCCCGGGCUUAACCUGGGAACUGCGCUUGUGACUGCACAGCUAGAGUAUGGCAGAGGGGGGUGGAAUUCCACGUGUAGCAGUGAAAUGCGUAGAGAUGUGGAGGAACACCGAUGGCGAAGGCAGCCCCCUGGGCCAAUACUGACGCUCAUGCACGAAAGCGUGGGGAGCAAACAGGAUUAGAUACCCCCGUAGUCCCUGUCUCUUAUACA